CAUCCAGCACGUCAUCAAUUAUGACAUGCCAGAGGAGAUUGAGAACUAUGGUAAGGGCCUGGGGCCCAAGGGCAUGGGCUAGGCCAGAAAAGGGCCGAGCCAGGCCCCUAGUGUCCAGCGAUGGGCCAGAGACUCUGUCCUUCUCUCUGCAGUACACCGGAUUGGCCGCACCGGGCGCUCGGGAAACACAGGCAUCGCCACUACCUUCAUCAACAAAGCCUGUGAUGAGUCAGUGCUGAUGGACCUCAAAGCGCUGCUGCUGGAAGCCAAGCAGAAGGUGCCGCCCGUGCUGCAGGUGCUGCAUUGCGGGGACGAGUCCAUGCUGGACAUUGGAGGAGAGCGCGGCUGUGCCUUCUGCGGGGGCCUGGGCCAUCGGAUCACUGACUGCCCCAAACUCGAGGCUAUGCAGACCAAGCAGGUCAGCAACAUCGGCCGCAAGGACUACCUGGCCCACAGCUCCAUGGACUUCUGAGCCGACAGUCUUCCCUCCUCUCCAAGAGGCCUCAGUCCCCAAGACUGCCACCACUCUACACACACAGCAGCCCCCUGGACAGAAUCAGCAUUUCAGCUCAGCUGGCCUGGACUGGGCCAGGCUGGUCCUGGCUGCCUGUUCCCUGUGCUCCUCAGAAUUACUAUUUUUGUUUCCUUUCACCCCAGCUGCCAUUAAAGCACAAACCUCUAUCCCA
rnacentral:sRNA from 1 species